ACUCAAAUGAAUUGACGGGGGCUCACACAAGCGGUGGAGCAUGUUGCUUAAUUCGAAGCAACGCGAAGAACCUUACCUGGGUUUGACAUGCUUGGAUUAACUUCCUGAAAGGGAAGCCACACUCGCAAGAGUGGAACAAGCACAGGUGCUGCAUGGCUGUCGUCAGCUCGUGCUGUGAAGUGUCGGGUUAAGUCCCUUAACGAGCGCAACCCUUGUCGUUAGUUGCUACCAGGUAAUGCUGAGGACUCUAACGAGACUGCCGGUGUCAAACCGGAGGAAGGUGGGGAUGACGUCAAGUCCUCAUGGCCCUUACAUCCAGGGUUGCAAACGUGCUACAAUGGCGCGUACAGAGCGAUGCAAGAACGCAAGUUGGAGCAAAUCGCAAAAAACGCGCCCCAGUUCGGAUUGCAGGCUGCAACUCGCCUGCAUGAAGCCGGAAUCGCUAGUAAUCGAGGAUCAGCUACGCCUCGGUGAAUACGUUCCUGAGCCUUGUACACACCGCCCGU
rnacentral:rRNA from 1 species